UAGAGGACCUCAGUUCGUUUUUGAACUUCGAACUCUUUAGACGGGUAAUACAGUUUAGCGGAAAUAAAAGUUAACUGAAAAAAAUCAUAAACAUUUUUUUGCAAAAAAACGAUAUAUUUUUAUUUUAAAUAAAAAAUGUUACUUCUGCAAGUUCCGUACAAUCAUCUGCAGCAUAUGCGCCACAAACCAAUGUGGACAUUUCUAUUUCUUCUAAUAAUUGUUGUUGUAUUCUUUGAUAAGACAUCGGCUAAUGCUGAAACUGAACAACCCCAAACUACUACCCCUGAACCAGAUGCAUCUCCGGGAUGCAAAGCUCCGGAUAUACGAUUCACCGUGAUUAAACCCGAGACAACCACCCAACAGCCUUAUGCUAAAUUUGAAACAACGCAAGUUUAUCCUCCAGACGAUUUAACAACCGGAGAUGUGGAAUAUGUUGAAAAGAUCAAUAUUGAUCUGACAGGACGUCAUAACGGCAAUCAAAUGGGCGGCAUUGUGAAUCCCUAUCAGGUCAAUAUCAAUGAUCAUCGUGCAGGCUACCAUGCUAAUGAUAUGGCUGCAGGUGAUGAACAAGACGAUGAGGACGACGAAGAUGACGACGAUGAAGAUGAAAAUGAGGAGUUCACUGAUGCUGACGGAGUAGCAAAGAAAAAAAGUAACCAAAACCGUAAAAUGAAUGACAAAAAUAGACGAUCUGGUUCGGGUAGAAGAAGGCGUAUUGAAAAUGAAAACGGCCAAACUCGUGGCAGAGGAAGUCGUUAUAAACGGCAAGUUAUACAUCACGAUCCCGAUGCAUCAGCAGACACCGACAAGUGGAGUGGUAGUAAAUUAGCCGCUGAAGGGGAUGUUUAUUACAUACAUAUUGACGAUAUUCUAAAAUCCCAGUCCCCCAACGAACAUCUAAAGCUUAAAUUGUAUAAAAUGAAGCAAAAAGUAAAGAAGCCCAAAAAGUCAAAUUGUACCGAACACCAUUGUAACAAACGUGAUCAAUCUUUGACGAAAAAGCGUACAGGACUCGAGGAAAAGCCAAAAUUUAAACAAUUUGCAAAAAAUCAUCGUAGACGUCGCGGCGAUAGCCAUGAACUAAAAGAUGUUAAAAAUUCUCAACAUCAAAGUCAGAAACCUAUACCAAAUAUUAAUCCGCGUAAAAGACGUGAUCUAGACAAUGAACCUCACGAGCGACAUCAUUACGAGAACGUUGGCAAUCAUUUGUCUGCCAAAACUAUUGAAAUGAACGAGUUCAAAGGCAAUGAAACCGUACCACCAUUGGAACAAACUACAGAGGUUGAGGAUGAUGCCCAAAUGUACUCAAAUAUGAGUCACAAUGAAGCAUUACAGCGCGUUAAGCGUAAAUCAGGCAAAACCACCGGCGCUCUUAGUCGUCCCAAGGGUGGUGGCGAAUCUAGUUCAAAGUCAACAAGUCGCAAAGAUAAAGGCAUUUUUGACGAAGAGGGCACCCAUUAUCCUGUACACACUGAUGAGGGGGAAUCAGAUGAAGAGGACGAAGAAGAAGAUGAAAUUGAUAUACAACAACAAUUUACGGAAGUUUCAGAAAUACGUUUCCCCGGAGAAAUAGGUCCAUUAGGUGACCGACGUCUAUGUAAAAUUCGAUGCAUUAAAGGCAAAUGGGUGGGCCCACUAUGUGCAACAAACGAGGAGGAUGAAAAUGGAAAUGUGAAAUUUCAACCGUUAUACAAAUCGUGCCACGUUCAAAGAAUACCGCCUUAUUUAUUGUUGAGUUAUCGAAACAUUUCAGUGAACCCCAUCACCCGUGCUCGUCGUUAUCGUACGGUUAAAUCGAAUUUAAUUUCAAAUACACAAAUUAAUGUGGGCUGGGACCUGCCUCAUGGACAUUCGCUGCAAGCUAGGUGUAAAGAUCUGGGUAUGUACAAACUGUUGGGAGAAUCGAGGGUAUUAUGUUCAAACGGAUUGUGGGCACCACGUAUGCCAUCGUGUGUACCGACAACUUUAUUGACGAAUUUUUCGGAUGACAGCGCCCCAUCCAUUAAAUAUAGAAUAAUCAAUGGUUCAGGAUCCUUUGAACCAUCAGGAAUACUGGCUGUUUUGCCAAAUAGUACCAUAUUGCUCGACUGUAUUUAUCCGCGAGCAAGAGGUAUUCCCGAUUGGAGUUGGACUAGUUGGUACAUGCAGUAUGAAACGGGAUGGUCCAAUGAGGAUAAAAAUUUUCGCUACCGCUUAACAAUUAAGUACAUGGGAAAUGGAGACUCGGGAACAUUUACUUGCACUUCACCGCGCGGACUAACGAAUAGUGUUGCUAUAAUCAUGGCCACAUCCACUUGCCCGCAGCUUCCAGAACCGGCGUUACCGCUCAGCUUACGAUUGGAAGGCGAUAAGCUUGGCCAGCGGGCAAUGUAUCGUUGCCCACCAGGCUUCCGAGUCGAUGGUAUUGCCAAUGCAACUUGUUUAGCUUCCGGUAAUUGGUCAUCGCCGCCACCAACUUGUCAAGCUGUACAAUGUCCACGUUUGAUUUUAGAUGAUCCUCACCUAAGCUUAGUCGAAUUGAAUACAUCUGCUUGGGGGCGGGCGGUGUUCAAAUGCCAGUGGGGCUUCAAAUUGACCGGUCCACCGGGUUUGGAAUGUGAUCCGACGGGCGUGUGGAGUGGUCCAGUCCCAAGAUGUAGAGCAAUUCAAUGCCCAACACCCAUUCCACCAUUAAAUGGUCGCAUAGGUGGCACUAACAUAAAUCAGCGGCGUCUUACAGUAGGCGCUUUAAUCACUUUCAGCUGCAACGAGGGCCAUACGCUAGUCGGUGAGCCUAGUAUCAUUUGCACAGAAAGUGGUUUGUGGUCACAUCCUCCACCAUUCUGUAAGUAGAAUUAAAAACAUAUUCAUACAUAUAUGUAUGUGUAUGUAAAUACAUAUACAACAGCAACAACUGUAUGCACACCAAUCCCUCAGUGAAUGGGUAAAUCACAAUGCCCAUAUCCUGGUGAUCCACCUAAUGGCUUAUUAGCGCCGUUGAAAUUUAACUAUGACUCUGGUGAUUACAUUAGUGUACAGUGUAGGCCCGGGUACGUGCAGUAUAG
rnacentral:misc_RNA from 1 species